GUUUGACCUCGGAUCAGGUAGGGAUACCCGCUGAACUUAAGCAUAUCAAUAAGGCGGAGG
rnacentral:rRNA from 1 species